rnacentral:rRNA from 1 species
CACGUAGGGCGCAAGCGUUGUCCGGAAUUAUUGGGCGUAAAGAGCUCGUAGGCGGUCUGUUACGUCUGCUGUGAAAACUGGAGGCUCAACCUCCAGCCUGCAGUGGGUACGGGCAGACUAGAGUGCGGUAGGGGAGAUUGGAAUUCCUGGUGUAGCGGUGGAAUGCGCAGAUAUCAGGAGGAACACCAAUGGCGAAGGCAGAUCUCUGGGCCGUAACUGACGCUGAGGAGCGAAAGCAUGGGGAGCGAACAGG